rnacentral:rRNA from 1 species
UACGGGGGGAGCAGGCGUUGUUCGGAAUCACUGGGCGUAAAGGGAGUCUAGGCGGUUUGGUAAGUGGGAUGUGAAAUCCCCGGGCUCACCCCGGGACCUGCAUCCCAAACUGCUGAGCUUGAGUACAGGAGAGGGUGGGGGAAUUCCAGGUGUAGCGGUGAAAUGCGUAGAUAUCUGGAGGAACACCGGUGGCGAAGGCGGCAUCCUGGACCAGCAUGACGCU